CAGGCCUAACACAUGCAAGUCGAACGGUUAGUAGCAAUACUAAUAGUGGCGCACGGGUGCGUAACACGUAACUAACCUGCCCAAGACUGGGGGAUAGCCCGCCGAAAGGCGGAUUAAUACCGCAUAACACUUUUGAGUGGCAUCACUUGAUAGUUAAACCUGAGGGGGUCUUGGAUGGGGUUGCGGGUCAUUAGCUAGUUGGUAAGGUAACGGCUUACCAAGGCGACGAUGACUAGGGGAGCUGAGAGGCUGGUCCCCCACACGGGCACUGAGAUACGGGCCCGACUCCUACGGGAGGCAGCAGUAGGGAAUAUUGGGCAAUGGGCGAGAGCCUGACCCAGCCAUGCCGCGUGCAGGAAGAAGGCUUUCUGAGUCGUAAACUGCUUUUGGACGGGGACAACCCGGCCAUGCGUGGCAGAAAGAUUUACACUGGGAAUAAGCACCGGCUAACUCCGUGCCAGCAGCCGCGUAAU
rnacentral:rRNA from 1 species